AUUGAACGCUGGCGGCAGGCUUAACACAUGCAAGUCGAGCGGAGAUGAGGUGCUUGCACCUUAUCUUAGCGGCGGACGGGUGAGUAAUGCUUAGGAAUCUGCCUAUUAGUGGGGGACAACAUUUCGAAAGGAAUGCUAAUACCGCAUACGCCCUACGGUGGAAAUCCGGGGAUCUUCGGACCCGUCCAUAAUAGAUGCGCCUAAGUCGGAUUAGCUUGUUGGUGGGGUAAAGGCCUACCAAGGCGACGAUCUGUAGCGGGUCUGAGAGGAUGAUCCGCCACACUGGGACUGGGACACGGCCCAGACUCCUACGGGAGGCAGCAGUGGGGAAUAUUGGACAAUGGGCGGAAGCCUGAUCCAGCCAUGCCGCGUGUGUGAAGAAGGCCUUUUGGUUGUAAAGCACUUUAAGCGAGGAGGAGGCUACCUGGAUUAAUACUCUAGGAUAGUGGACGUUACUCGCAGAAUAAGCACCGGCUAACUCUGUGCCAGCCGCCGCCGUAAAAC
rnacentral:rRNA from 1 species